UCAUUUUAAAAAUCUUAUUGUAAUCAUUUUAAAAAUUAAUGUGAUGUUUAAUUAUACAGCAUAGUGAGUUGUUCAACACCCCAACUAGAAUCUGAACUAAUUAACAAAGUAACUAAACAAAUGUUAUUGUGAAGAAUGUGUUUGUCCCCACUCAAACAAUCGUUAGACAGCCGUAGAGAUACAUAUUAGGUAUAUCCUCAUUAAGUUGACCAAAAUAGACAAAUACUAUUAUUGUAUAAAGAGUACAUAGUACGGAGUAUAUAAUUAUAAUAUUCACAAUUUUUGAUUAGUUAAAACUUAAAAUCUAAAUAUACCCUUUUUGUCGUUGUGGCAACAUAAUUUUAACAAUUCUAAUACUUAUGAAUGGUUCCAUCAAGAAAUCUCCUUUUCUGCCAAGUUAGGUGUAUGUAUGUAUGUAUGAAUGUCUUCGCGUAUAUGUCAUUUUAUUUUUAUUUUAUUUUUGCUAAGAAUGUGAUUUUCCUUACGAUGAAGUAAUGUAAAAGCGAUACAAGAAACUUGAAUCCCAGUCUGCUAACAAGCAAAUUGGUAUCAAAGAGCCCCUAAAAAGAUAUUAAAAAAACUUUCAACUAUGGUAUUUUUAGCAUGAACCAUUUUUAAUAGUUAAAGGAACGAAUAGAAUGUAUCUUUAUGUAUGGUGUUGAUUAUAAGAAAAAAACCAACGGGCCACUUUUCCGCAAGGUGAAGACAUCCUUAAGGGCAUUCUCGUUUGGGGGGGGAGGUGAGACGCUGGGUAUGAUUGACUUCGAUUUAUUAGAUGAGGUUUUUUAUUCAUGAUUUGAUAUUUUUUUAUUUUCUAACACUUUUCGGCUAAGAAACGGUUAUUGGGAGGGAAAGAGGGAGGUGGAGGUGAAACGCUGGGCAUGAUUGACUUCGAUUUAUUAGAUGAGAUUUUUUAUUCAUGAUUUGACAUUUUUUUUGUUUUUUAACACUUUUUGGCUAAGAAACAGUUCUUAUAUAUUUUAUUUAAGAGACGAUUUUUAAUUUUUUUUAGUUAAAAUUUAAAAGAUUAAGUUUAAUCAUGGUCUUCUUCGUAAUACUAUUAUUUAUGAGAGUUUCUAUUAGAUGUUUUCAGAGGCGUGCCUACAGUGUAUUGAAAAAGGCAUUCGCCUCAGGCCCCCGAUUAAUAUGAAUGUUUUUAGGGUCCUAAAAUUUUAAAUAAUAUAUAAUCUUAUGGUUUAGACUUAUGUAAAAAAAAAUAUUUCUACGAAAAUUAAUUAAUUCAUUUUCUGAAUUCAUGUAUUUUUUUUUCUAUAUGACAUAAUAUAAC
rnacentral:lncRNA from 1 species